rnacentral:lncRNA from 1 species
GUGACGAGUCGUAGUUUCGGCCAAAAUGCGCAUUCUUGCGUAUUUUGUAACCAAACUACUCGUGAGCAUCAAAGCCGUUUGUUUUGAUGCCAAACCUGUUUUCUAAACUUAGUUAAGCAUGUUCUAACAUGCUUAGCUCGUCACUUUUAGUUUAGUGCAUAUGUAGGGUCGUAAGAUAAGCGAUCUAAACCAUCGCUUAUACUUUCGAACCCGACCCAUUUGGUCGAUCAUUAGGAUCCGACCAAACACAUUAGGUGACCAUAGCUGUAACCUUCCGAGGUUAUACCUUGUGGUCACGAUGUUAGGCGUUCCAAACGCGUUCUACGCGAACGACGCAUUAAGGCUUUGUUAAACCAUAUUUCACGAGUCUCCAUACUCGUUUGGUUUACGAACCCGCAUACUAUCCGAUCCUUCCGAUUUUGGUCCGGUAUAUUAAUAUAGCUACCUAUUAGGUGC